UGUGGUGGCGGUGUCUGCCCCCCGAACCCAGACUGGGAGCUGGUUCCACAGGAGCGGAGCCUGGUAGCUGAAGGCUCUGGCCCCCAGUCUACUUUUAGAGAUUCUAGGAACCACAAGUAACUCUGCAACCAUUCAGCAACCACCUUGGUUUUUAUCUGACAGCUUUAGUUCCUUUACACAUUCAGGUUAUUAAAACUAAAUACAAUCAGAUAAUAAAUGAUGACUUAUUAUUACAGAUUACUAGCUGCAAUAUUAAAGUCAUCAGUCAUUAGAAACCAGUAAUAUCAUACUGAUUAUUCUGCAGAAUCACCACUUUUACUUUUGGUACUUUAAGUAUUUUAAUGCUGACACUUUUGUACUUUUACUUAUUUCUACAAUGUGGCAUAAGUACUUUAACUUGAGUACUUUGUGGUAUAUUCUAUAUUCUUAUUUUUUAUUAUGAUAUAAUAUUUUUAUUUUGUUAUUAUAAUUCUGAGAGUCAGUCAGUUUUGUUAUUCGUAAACCUCUGUACAGAUCGGUUCCGCUCAUCUCCACGUUUGUUUUCUCCCGUGAGGGAGUCUGAUUGCCCAGCAUAGAGUCCCAUGAAGAAGAAAAUGUCAUCGUCAUUCAAAUAAAACAAGUUCUCUGCUUCCUACGUGGAGUCUAACUCUCUCUUAUUUAUUCAUCGGGACACACUUAAAGCUGUCCAGACUAAAUAUAUUGAAUAGAAAGUUAUAAACAACAAUGUUUGAGCCCAGGGGAACGUUCGUCUCUAAAAGUUGGGCAGCGUGUUCCUAUGGUAACAGUGUUGAGGACAUGUUUGCUUUUUCAUAUAUCAGCAUUAAUCAACAGAGAUAUUAAACAUGGGAAAUCUCUUCAUGUGUUGUUUGGGCCUGUGUUUACGAUUAACAAAUAAUUUCUUUUUUUUUUUUAAACAAAAUACAAAACAUACAACUUGCGUUUAUUUACAUGCCGAUGUGCUGCAAUACGGCAUUUCAGAAGGAUUGUAACCAAUAGACACCAAGAUACUUCUGGGUGGCAGAAUGCAAGCGGCGUCCACUGACCUGAAGAGAUCCAGCCGGCUACUGUUAACAGUUACAUAGUUACAAACCUUGUUGAUCAAAGUUGAAACAAUGAGGAAAACGUCUUGUGUUUGGGGUUGCACCGCCAGAUAUACAGCAAAAGGUGUAGAUAUCUAAAAAUAACCGACUGCCUCCGGCAAAAGCGCAAGUGUGGAUUCCUCACAAGUUCAACAACACGUUGAGAAAAAGUCUCGUACACGGUCUUCUAAAGUGUGGGAGUAUUUUACCCUUAAUGCCAACAACAAUGUGGUAGUAUGUAGACUUUGUAAAAUGAUCCCUGAGUCAGGAUAACAGCAGCAAAAUACCAUAAGUUCUGCUCACCUUUUUGUCCCUUUCUAACCCUUCCCUCCAAAGUAUGGUUUUAUCAAUUUCCAAUUCAUCCUGUGGGCGAGGAGGUUAAAGUGAGUGGACGUUGUCAGAAGUAGUGCUCCAGAGAAGAUAGCCCUACGGAGUAGCCACUUCUAAUGGGGCGGACUGGGAACCAAACCUCCAUCAUCAUGUUUGUGGAAGACAUUUUCUCACAGGUAAUGUAUAAAAUGUUUGGUUUGGUUUUCUUUGAGUAAUUUUGCAAAACGUAUCGGCUAGCCUGCUAGCUAAUGUCAGCUCUAAUUUUGGCAGUGCUAAUGCUAGCUAGCAUUUGGUCAGCUGUAAAGAAACACCCACAGCUACACAGCUGAUGGCUUAGAACUAGCUGUCCCCGUCUUGACUUGGCUCCAUCCAUAUGUUUCCAAUUGAAAGAGUACAAUGUCAAGUUAAAUGUGUAAAUGUAAAGGCAAAAGUAGGAGCUGUAACACACUGAAAGCUUGCAGUCUUUUUUAAUUCAAAUUAAAUGUUGUAGCCUACAUUACAGAGUAGCGAUGUGCAAUAUAAACUAUAUGCAAUAUAAACAAUACAAAAUUGGCCUACGAUACGGAUUUUAAUUAUAUUGCACUAUCGCGAUAAUGCGUGUUGAUCUACCCGCGAAAUUCAGAGCCAAGAGCUGAAAGCGAAACGGACGAGCUGGUGAAAAAGACCGGUGCAACAUCCAUUAUUUGGACUUGGUUCGGAUUUAAGCCGCUACACCGGCCCUGUGGUCGAGCCGUACCAUAGAGCCUUUCACCAGCCUGACAAUUCACUAUAUAACAGACGAUUGGAAUCUUGACAGCCGGUGUUUGCAGACGUCGUACUUCCCCGCUGAACAUACAGCCGUAUGUAUGUGUGUGUGUGUGUGUGUGUGUGUGUGUGUGUAUGUGUGAGCACAGUGGUGUAGUCUAAUGUAUUUUAGCGGGUAUACUGUACUAUAUAAAUAUAUGGACCAGAAUGGACAUAUUAAAGUGGGGCGUCUGGGUGUCCUCCCACUGGGAAAUUUUGAGCAUCAAAGACUUAAUUUCCUUAAUUUUGAUACACUUUAAUGCCCCAAUUUACGAUGGAAAUAGCUUUAUUUAGCCUAUGUGAAGGAAAACACAGAUGGCAAUUCAAAAUAUAUUAAACAUAUAAUGGAAAGUAUGUUGUUACAUGUCAUUGUGCAUUUUUAAGUGGGUAUAUGGAAAUCCUGGAGCUGGCCACCGGGUGUGCAUGCUGGCCGGAAGGAUGGCUGUUGAGGAGUAAUGUCCUCCAUAUCAGUGCCUAGCAAUGAACCUUCAGGUGCAGAACUUUGCUCAGGAGUGCUUCCUCCUGCUCUCCCACUGGCUCUUCCUCUGGCUCUCCCUCUUGCUCCACCUGUGGCUCUUCCUCUCCCCCUCCUCUUUCUUGCAGGCUGUGUGGAGGUAGAUGGUUGGGGUUCCAGCUCCUCUUCUUCCUCUUCCUCCUCUUCCUCUACAGUCCUUGGGGUCCUCCUGGGCCUCUUUGCCUCCGGCUGCUAAUCUGACUCAGAUGACUCUCUGAAAGACAAAUGCAAUGGCUGUCCAAACCCUGACCCCGACCACCCUGACUUUGCUCCUUCACAACACCUGGGACCUGAAUUAGCCGAUCCAACCGCAUCUGCUAAGAGAGCAGUGUUACCAUCGAGGAGCUGGACUAGGACCAGACCCUUAUUUAUUCAUUGGGACAAAUUUAACAGUUGAAGAACAAUGUUUGAGCCCAGGGUAACGUUCAGUCUCUAAAUGUUGGGUAGCUGUUGCUAUGGUUUCCUGACAUCUGUACUACGAAGCAAGAUUUGGCGUUACCGAGGGUGAAGCCUGCUGGAGUCAGAUGGUUGACACCAGGUCUGACGAAGUGUAAGUCUGUUGUACAUUUCAUUCAUGAAACUGUGACAUCACUCAUUCAACCCUCUGAUGUCAUCAUCAAAGUGCUGAUUGGUUAAUAACUGCAGCUGUGUUGUGUCUCCUUCUCUC